rnacentral:rRNA from 1 species
UCGGGGGUACGGACAGAGCCCGUGAUCCGGGCGGCGGAAUUCAGAAUCGACGGCGUUCGCGCGUCGUCGGUUCGAUAUUUCCGUCGCCGUUCAAUUACGGACGUCGCGACCCGUUCGGUGUCGGUCCGAGGAGACGUGUAAAAGUUCGACGGCGCGUGUCGAGUCGUUUCGGCGGCUAGGCGCGCGUCGUUGAGUCGCGUAUUCUGGCCGACUCGCCGGACGGUACGUGUAACGGUGGCCGCGGCGACCUAGCGUCGUCGUUGGUACCGGUCUGCGACGAAUCUUCGGGCCUCUUUCCGACCCGUCUUGAAAAACGGACCAAAA